UACGGGGGGGGCAAGCGCUGUUCGGAAUUACUGGGCGUAAAGGGGACGUAGGCGGCCAACUAAGUCCGACGUGAAAUCCCAAGGCUUAACCUUGGAACUGCGUCGGAUACUGGAUGGCUUGAAUUCGGGAGAGGGAUGCAGAAUUCCAGGUGUAGCGGUGAAAUGCGUAGAUAUCUGGAGGAAUACCGGUGGCGAAGGCGGCAUCCUGGACCGACAUUGACGCUGAAAGCCGAAAGCUAGGGGAGCAAACGGG
rnacentral:rRNA from 1 species